rnacentral:lncRNA from 1 species
AGAGGCGGGGGCGCCGCUUCGGGAGAGCGGGCAGUUCUAGGAGGCCGACCUGGAGAGCCUCCCGGUUCCCCUUCCCCUUUUCCCGGACCCCGCGGGGACACCCCCUCGCCGCCACCCGGGCCUCCCCGAGGGCCCAACUGCGGGUCAGGCGGCCCGGGCCAGCCGAAAGGGAAGUGGGGCUACCCCACAGCCAGGCAGCGGGGCUGGGGUCAGACCCGGGAGCCGGAGGUUGGAGACGUGCGACAGUCACCUGCGGGCAGAUUCCAGAGGGGAGACCCAGGGCUGCAGGGGACGCCCCUUCGUGGCAGCUACCCAGCCUCGGCCCACUGCCAGUGUUACGUGGCUGCAUGACCAUACACUUCUGGGUAGAGCCCAGUGGAAGACAAAGAAGACUCAAGGAAUAGCCCUUGAGAUCCUGAACCAACUUUGAAGGCAGAGAAGUGGGCUAGAAGAAGUGGGGUUGGAGCCUCCACCAAGGACAAGAAGGCCUUAGCCCCCUGCUUCCAGCUCAAGCUGAAGUGGCUGUGAGCUGAGCUAAGAAGACCCCACUUCGCCAGGAGGAGUGCCUCACGCCUGUAAUCCCAGCACUUUGAAAGGCCGAGGCAGGUGGAUCACGUGAGGUCAGGAGUUUAAGACCAGCCUGGCCAACAUGAUGGAGUCUAGCUCUGUCGCCCAGGCUGGAGUACAGUGGCGUGAUCUCGGCUCACUCCAACCUCCGCCUCCCGGGUUCAAGCGAUUCUCCUGCCUCAGCCUCCUGGGUAGCUGGGACUACAGGCAUGUGCCACCCCG